UGGGUUUAAAGGGAGCGUAGGCUGGAGAUUAAGUGUGUUGUGAAAUGUAGACGCUCAACGUCUGAAUUGCAGCGCAUACUGGUUUCCUUGAGUACGCACAACGUUGGCGGAAUUCGUCGUGUAGCGGUGAAAUGCUUAGAUAUGACGAAGAACUCCGAUUGCGAAGGCAGCUGACGGGAGCGCAACUGACGCUUAAGCUCGAAGGUGCGGGUAUCAAACAGGAUUAGAUACCCUGGUAGUCCGCACAGUAAACGAUGGAUGCCCGCUGUUGGUACCUGGUAUCAGCGGCAAAGCGAAAGCAUUAAGCAUCCCACCUGGGGAGUACGCCGGCAACGGUGAAACUCAAAGGAAUUGACGGGGGCCCGCACAAGCGGAGGAACAUGUGGUUUAAUUCGAUGAUACGCGAGGAACCUUACCCGGGCUUGAAUUGCAGAGGAAGGAUUUAGAGAUAAUGACGCCCUUCGGGGUCUCUGUGAAGGUGCUGCAUGGUUGUCGUCAGCUCGUGUCGUGAG
rnacentral:rRNA from 1 species